ensembl:lncRNA
AUGUGGUUCCCAGCCCUCUCCACUGCAGCGGGCCCCACAGCUCUUCCGCAGGGAGAAAUGACAGAUGACACAGAAGAGCUGUGCUCCUCCCAGCUCGUCCCGGUGACACGCAGGCUUGGGGUCUCUGGGACACCCACCAAGCAGGGACCCACAAGACCAGGAUGCUUGACUGAUGGAAACAGAGGCUCCACCCCUCCACGGCCAGUGCUGGGUGUUUGUGUUUUCAAUCGAUACAGGGCUUUUCCAAUGACAAGGGACCGGCUGCGGUCAGACCUGUGCGGUGGGCAGCUGCUGGUUCCAUGGGCGCGUCCUGGGUGGGACUGUGGGUUUGUGCAGGGAGAGAGAGCAUGUGUAGAGAAGGGGCCGAGGGCCCAGCAGAGCAAGGCCAGGGACAGGAAAGGGAGGACAUCUGACUUCUGCCCGAGCUGCUCCUUCUCGUGUCCAGAGACGCCACUGGGCUUGCUCCAAGACAGAAGUAAUUUUUCACUGGGGAAAGGAAAGUGGUAGACGGAGCCGGCUGCGAAAAGUGUAUCCAACACAAAGUGUAUCCAACGUCGUAUCUGGCUCCAGACCUGUCACAUGUCAGUCCUCAGGCCCUAAUAGCCCGUCCACCAUGUCUGAGAGUGGACCGGCCGACCCUGGCCCCGGGCCCUGGCCUCUGAUGGACUCUGCCUCCCACCUCCUCUGCUGCUCCUGUUUCUUCUCUCCGCCCCACCGGGCACAUCAGGGUGGGAGUGCAUAUUUAUUAGUUUCCGAGCCUGCUGCCCUCACGGCCAGUGUCUGCCUGAGGCCCAGGCAUCACAACUUCUGUGUUUUCACCUGCAGCUCCAGACACCCGCCUCUGGUGGACCCUCAGUAACUACCCGCCAGAUGAAGGAGAGGAUUGCCACUGCCUUUUGCAGCAGGCAGGUCCGAACCCUUCCCGGCGGCCUCACCUGGAUCUCAGCCUCCAACCAGCAGAGCGCUGGGCACUAGGUGGGGCGGCCGAUGAAGCUGGUUUUCUUGGAGGAUUUGUUGACAGAAUUUGAAAACAGCAAGUAAUGAUGACACGGACGUGAAACGGACUAUUACGUCCCCAAGAAAAAUCUAAUUAAACGAGAAAUGUGUAUGUGGAAAAGCCGUGUCCCACCCCGUGAACACCACAUAGCACCAUGUUAGGAAGCACACGAGCGAAGAGGUGACCAGCCUGCUGUUAGAAGUGACUGCCAAAGCUUCAUAAAUACACAUUUCUAUUAACUUUGGGCAGUGCCAUUUCCUCUUUUCCCUGCUGCAUGGAAAUGCCUCAGCUCUGGUUGAAUCAUGGGGGAAAGGGGAGGGGCCCCCGAAUUCUCAAGUGCAUCCUCUAAUGACCUGGGACAUUCCUAGUCCCCACUGAGGCUCAUCAAUACAAAGGAAGUGCGUGUUGCCAACUCCUGUGAGUAGAAGGAAGGGGUCUGGGUGACCCUCUGUCCCCUCAUUUCCUGCCCACCUGGCAGCCUUCCAGCAGAAACAGCGCCCCCGGUCCCUUCUGUUCCCUGGGGCACGACCUCAUUCAGACAAGUUAAUCAGUGUUGCUUGUCCCACCCAGGUGACUGGGGUGACUGCUCAGUGCAAACCAACCCCCAGCUGCGUGUACACCCCCAGCACCGCACAUGCGCACACAACCUAUGUCUGCUGUCACUCAAGAGCAGCAUCAGAGCAUCAACCCUGACUCAGCCAGGGCGCCACCUGUGUCCUGUCUGCCCUGCCCCCACACUCAGUGUCCUCGCUUCUCAGCCUGGCCUCCUGGUCCUCUGAGCAGUUCUGAUGGCCACCAGCAGCCCAGCACUCACCUCCACAUCAGGCUACUUGACUUUCCUGCAGAGUGCUUCUCAAUAAUGUUCUUGUUCUUUUAUUUGUUCACUUGUCCAUUAUUUAUUUGUGGUCUUCCCACUUCCCUCCAGGAGAAUUCAGGCCCCUAUCCCUGCCCAGGGAUGGUGUCUUUGCGGUGUGCGUGGCAGAACAGAAGGGAGGGAGGGAGGCAAGCAGGCGUAUUUCACAAGUGACACUGGAGCCCAGGAUGGAGCCUCCAGGGUGGGACUGCAUUGUACCCAACAAUGUGUGGGACCCAACACAGCCUCCAGCCUCCGUCCUGACAUGUUUGACCACCAUUUCUGCACUCACCCUCAUCCCACUCGGAGGGGGACCCAACUGAACUAGCUCCAUUGUAGAUCACUGAAAACCCGAAAUGUUACAAAUAAGGGCCCCCCAUCUGCCUCCACGCCUCAGCCCCCCUCAAAAUUAGUCCUUGUCACUAACCUUUUGCUGGCUUUCAAAAACGCAUUUCAUAGAUAUUUGUUACUUUAUAAACCUAGAAAGUUGUUUAGUGAAAUUUUAAAAGCUUGCACGAGGUAACACUCAUGGUUCUAAACUUUGCUGUGUAGACACAAUAGCUCUUUUCAUGUCAGCUUAUACACAUUUAUUUAAAUUGUUGCACAUGUAUUCUGUGGGAAUCAUACUUAAUGAUCCCACUAUUAAUGAGAUUUAAGUUGUUUUCGAUCAUUUGCUUAAAAUAAUGUGCUUCCUGAAAAGAGAUGGAAACAGUGAGACAGAAAGACAUGGAUAACAUUGAGAAUUGGAAAACAUGAUAGGUAGAUGAAGAUGGUUUCGUUAGGCUGGUCAGUAAAUGCCGCUUAGCCAAGCAAAGAUUCCACGAAUCUGGAAGUAACUCUACAGCAAGUAUCCAGACUGAAGCACAAAGAGAACCCAGAAUGAGAAAAGAACAGAGUUAUGCGUCUGAGGUCCGUGGGACAAUGUCAGACAGUCUGUAAAAUUGGAAUCCAAUUUGAUAGAAAAAAGAGACAGAGGGAGGAGUAGAGGAAAUAUCUGGAGAAAGUAACUAAACCAUAGAUCAAAGCANNNNNNNNNNNNNNNNNNNNNNNNNNNNNNNNNNNNNNNNNNNNNNNNNNNNNNNNNNNNNNNNNNAAUCCCUUAGCAUAAACAUAUUCAAGCUGCUGAAAAAAAAUAAAAGACGUGAAAAAAGAAACUUCUAAGGAAACCAGAGGAAAAACGUGUGCAUUCCAUGCAGAGAAAUAAAGAUAAGAGUUACAGUUAAUUCCCUUCAGAAACCAUGCAUGCAAGAUGCCAGCAAAGGGCUAUCUUUAUAGACCUGGGAGAAACGAGUGUUGGUUCAGAACUCUGAACCAGUUAAAAAACUUUUAAAAAUUAUAAGCUAAAACAGGACUAUCUCAGAGGAACAAGAACUAUGGGAAUUCACUGCUGGCAUUCCUGCUUUAUGAGACAUGAUAAAUGAUACUCAUCAGUCAGAAGGAAUAUGAUAUUAGUCUGCCAACUGGAUCUUUAUCAAAACAUAAGUACCAAAAAUGCAAGAAAUGAAGAUAAGACAUAUCUUUUCCCCUAAUUUUUAAUUGCUAUAAAUUAUAGCUGCUAUAAUUGAUAAAAUUAUAAAUUUUAUAAUUUAUAAUUAUAAAAAGUAAAAACAGUAGCACUGUAUUGCAUUAAUAGCACAAGUGAGAGUUAAAUGUAUUUAUAUGACCAUAACAUCAGGACAGACGGUGGGGGGGCGGUGGUGGGAGAGGAGUUAGGGGGCUAUCCUUGAA